AAGAGAUGGAAGGCUCUCCGGCCGGCAGCUGCCUCCCGCUGCAGGCAAGAGAGCGCCUGCCUCGCCGGGCGGAGGACAGCCGAGCGACCGGAGUGACAGCAAAGGAAAGGCGGAGAGCGGGAGAAAGAAGCGUCUGCGCUGGCAAGCUCUCCCGGCAGCGCCGAGAGCCAGAGCUGCGGUGCUGCUGCGCCGAUGCUCCGUACGUUCGCAGUAACGGGUAGAGCGGAAGGCUCCGUGGCCAGGGAAGAGCGGCACGGACACGUUCCUGCUCGCUCCGUUGCACCGGAAUUUCGACGGCUGGGUUCGGCCGCUAAAUUGAUGGCGCUACCGGAAGAAAUUUCAGAGAAAUAUGAGAAAAGCUCUGUCCAGAGAUAUGGAGACGAAAUCAGUUGUACCUCACCCUGUGACACCGGAAGACAUUGAGUAACUGUAAGCUGUGAUGCUCAGUGAAAUUACUAAGAGCGUUAAGUUUCCCGUGCCUUUGCUUUCACUCUCCCAUUCUCUUGUCUUGCGGCACGUCGCAUUUGUUGAGGCCGUGGAAGCGACACCGGGAGCGAUGGGGUGUCAGAACCAGGUCCUCCUGCCUGUCGCUGGUUUUGCUUACCUUCGCCGUCUCUGUGUACCAGCCUGCAUCUCUCUCUCUGUUCCUCAAUCCCUGUCCUCUCUUCUCUGUUCUGCUUUGUUUCACUGCGUAU